CCCUUAGAUGUUCUGGGCUGCACGCGCGCUACACUGAUGCGUUCAACGAGUGUAUCACCUUGCCCGAUAGGGUUGGGUAAUCUUUUGAACACGCGUCGUGAUGGGGAUAGAUUAUUGCAAUUAUUAAUCUUCAACGAGGAAUGCCUAGUAAGCGCAAGUCAUCAGCUUGCGUUGAUUACGUCCCUGCCCUUUGUACACACCGCCCGUCGCUCCUACCGAUUGAAUGGUCCGGUGAAGCGUUCGGACCGUGGCCUUUGGACGGUUCGCCGUCUGUUGGCUGCGGGAAGUUCGUUAAACCUUAUCAUUUAGAGGAAGGAGAAGUCGUANCA
rnacentral:rRNA from 1 species